rnacentral:rRNA from 2 species
GACAGAGGGUGCAAACGUUGUUCGGAAUUACUGGGCGUAAAGCGCGUGUAGGCGGUGCGGUAAGUCGGGUGUGAAAGCCCUGGGCUCAACCCAGGAAGUGCAUUCGAUACUACCGUACUAGAGUCCCGGAGAGGUUGGUGGAACUCUCGGUGUAGAGGUGAAAUUCGUAGAUAUCGAGAAGAACACCGGUGGCGAAGGCGGCCAACUGGACGGUGACUGACGCUGAGACGCGAAAGCGUGGGGAGCAAACAGG